rnacentral:snoRNA from 1 species
AAUUUGGGCAUUGGUCUAAUUUUCCAUUAAAUCGUUCCCAAGCUUCAAACUAAGACUCUCCAUUCAUUUGUCAAAAAUUCACAAUCUCAUUCCAGUU